GGCUGGACUAAUUGGUACAUAGGAACUACUGAGACCCCAGGAUACGGCAUACUGGGUUUGUGAUCUCAAUAGUUGCUAUGGGAUCAUGUAUGUUGUUGAUAGCCUGCUGGAUAUUCACACGGCUGUUGCUGAGCUCAUGAGCAUUUUCUAAUGAUUGUAUAAACUGAGAACAAAUGAUAUCGUAUUGCCUUUCUUGAAAAAGAUCCUGUGGAAGGAUCGAAACGUCGAUUGUCUGAGGCUACAAUAAAGAAAAUUAUCAUUGAAGAAGCGUUGUACUAGUGAGAGUGCGCCCGCCACGUAUGUGGACUUCGAUAUAUUCAGCGGACUUUGUUCUGUUGGGAUAGCACCCACCCUUGAAUAACUGAUGCGAGU